GACGAACGCUGGCGGCGUGCUUAACACAUGCAAGUCGAACGGAAAGGCCCUGCUUGCAGGGUACUCGAGUGGCGAACGGGUGAGUAACACGUGGGUGAUCUGCCCUGCACUUCGGGAUAAGCCUGGGAAACUGGGUCUAAUACCGGAUAGGAGCCAUUUUUAGUGUGAUGGUUGGAAAGUUUUUUCGGUGUAGGAUGAGCUCACGGCCUAUCAGCUUGUUGGUGGGGUAAUGGCCUACCAAGGCGGCGACGGGUAGCCGGCCUGAGAGGGUGGACGGCCACAUUGGGACUGAGAAACGGCCCAGACUCCUACGGGAGGCAGCAGUGGGGAAUAUUGCACAAUGGGCGCAAGCCUGAUGCAGCGACGCCGCGGGGGGGAUGACGGCCUUCGGGUUGUAAACUCCUUUCGCUAGGGACGAAGCUUUUUGUGACGGUACCUAGAUAAGAAGCACCGGCUAACUACGUG
rnacentral:rRNA from 1 species